rnacentral:lncRNA from 1 species
CUUGAUUACAAUAAUAUUGAGAGUAGUUUAAUCUAUCCCUCAACAAUGAAGUUGUGCGAUCCGAGUCAAACGACGGAGCCCGUUUCCUUUCCUUGACAGCCUUGCAUGACGCUUUGCGUCCUUCACCUUAGGAACACAUGAAUGGCUGUGUUGUUCGAACAAAUCUGAUUCGAUCUUUCAUAGGCGUGUAGGCAGGUUGCAAUUGAGGUGCACAUGGACCGGCUCAUAACUUAUUCAUUGACACUUUCUUCCUCCGGUUACCAUAUCAACAUGAUGAGGAGCAAAGGCAGCCACCAUUCAGUUCUC